rnacentral:lncRNA from 1 species
CUGAGGAGCUGUUUAAGAAAACUCUUGGGAAAAGCAAACCAUUUCUUGAAGAGGGGAAUAGGGAGUCCAAGAGCUAUCCGGUCUUGAAUAUGUCAGUGUGCCCUGAAUGUGCAGUCACAUUCUGAGAGACAUUCCAUAAGCGGAUAUCUUUUUAUACUACUUGAGGCACAGUGUCUGACAGAGAUUACUGUAUAACCUGAAGUAUCGGUGUAAAAAGCAAGAAUGUAUACAUGGGAUUUCAUCCAGAGCACUCAGCCAAAAGAAAUACUGAACCACUGCUAAAUCAUCCUAAUGAGUUAAGUAUUGUGUGUGGUGUUGUUAUUUUAAGCAAAUGUAUUCGUAUUUGUUUCUGGAACUAUAAGGGAUCAGUCAAGCAAAUGUUUCCGUGAAGGGAAAAAAAUAUAUGUUCAUAAAACUUAGACUGCCUUAUUUUCUUGGUGGCAAAAUAUUUAAAAUAAUUGUUCAAUGAAAGACUAAACAUUUUCUUGGAAAACUCAUUUAAUUCAAGAAUUAGCCAUAUAGGGUGUCCACUCUACUGUAUAAAAUAAUAAACUUCAUUCUUUCUUUUUCUACUUUACCUUUAAAACAUAGCCACCUUUAUAAAACCCAUAUGUUACACAUAACUAGGCAUUUUCAUUUGAAAACACAACUACAAAGAAUUAGACUUACAGGCCUAAGGAGAGCAUUUGACUGGUUUCCAGUUUAAAUUGUGGGGGGAGGGAGUGGAGACCGGGGGAAAGGUGAGAAGGAAAUGGUACAUAACAACUUAGGCUCAGUUCUUGGUUGCCAAAACAGGGGCUUUCAAUACGAACAAACAAAACUGCCUCAGUCUUUAUGUUCUUCUCCAAUUUUCUGUUGGUAUAGGGAUUAAGUAACUACUGCAGUUCAUACAUGAACGUUUUCCCUCUCAGAUGUGGAACAUCUUCCAGACAGCUUGGCCAGGAACUUUUGAAACAUCUGCUGUUCUCUCUUCUCCCAUCUUCACCUUCCUGUCAUCCAGCCUGUGAUGGGUAUAAUGAUGGGGAAGCAAAAGCGGACCUCUUGCUUCCAGGACUGCAGCCUCUGGAUGAAACAAUGCACAGUCUUGAUAUCAAAAGUCAAGUUUUAUACUCAGAAGACCAUGCCAUUCAGACAUUCUCAGCCUCUUGCAGACAAGUCAAAGGCCACCUGCAAAACUUGACAAUUGGCUGUGUGUUAAGACACGUCAUAAAUCUGCUGAGCUUUGAUAUUUGCAGGACAUAA